rnacentral:lncRNA from 1 species
AGAACAUCCAUGAUAAAAUGUUCAGUAACAAAGCAAGAUACAAAAUUGUGCAUUCACUAGGCUACAACUAUGAUAAAAAGAAACCUUGUAGAAGAAAAAAAUUAGAAUAUACCAACAUGCUAACAAUAAUUGCAACAAGAUAAUGGAAUAAUAACUUAUUUGCUUUCUCAGCUUUCUAAUAUGGCUUUGCUUAUUUUAUAAUAAAAAAUAUGAGUUGUUUUUUAAAGGGAGGGGUGGAGGUAUUUUGAGCCAGACAGGACCCUGACAGAGCAGCCUUCGCCAAAUGCUUGUGCCAAGGAUACUUUUUCUCCACUGAGGUCCUGCUGGGCUGAGGCUGCUUCUAGCUUAGAGGUUGCAGGUGUCUCAAAGAAAAGCAGUGUUGCCCCACCCAGCCUUCUCUAC